GUCUUGUCAAUGAUGUUGCCAAACACAAAUGUCUGAACGUAUGACUUUCUGUGAUUCGUUUAUAUCUGCUGAGACAAGAC